rnacentral:rRNA from 1 species
AGUGAACGCUGGCGGUAGGCCUAACACAUGCAAGUCGAACGGCAGCACAGUAAGAGCUUGCUCUUACGGGUGGCGAGUGGCGGACGGGUGAGGAAUACAUCGGAAUCUACUUUUUCGUGGGGGAUAACGUAGGGAAACUUACGCUAAUACCGCAUACGACCUACGGGUGAAAGCAGGGGAUCUUCGGACCUUGCGCGAUUGAAUGAGCCGCUGUCGGAUUAGCUAGUUGGCGGGGUAAAGGCCCACCAAGGCGACGAUCCGUAGCUGGUCUGAGAGGAUGAUCAGCCACACUGGAACUGAGACACGGUCCAGACUCCUACGGGAGGCAGCAGUGGGGAAUAUUGGACAAUGGGCGCAAGCCUGAUCCAGCCAUACCGCGUGGGUGAAGAAGGCCUUCGGGUUGUAAAGCCCUUUUGUGGGGAAAGAAAAGCAGCAGGUUAAUACCCCGCUGUUCUGACGGUACCCAAAGAAUAAGCACCGGCUAACUUCGUG